rnacentral:rRNA from 1 species
AUUAAACGCUGGCGGCAUGCCUUACACAUGCAAGUCGAACGGCAGCACGGGGGCAACCCUGGUGGCGAGUGGCGGACGGGUGAGUAAUACAUCGGAACGUGCCCUGGAGUGGGGGAUAACGUAGCGAAAGUUACGCUAAUACCGCAUAUUCUGUGAGCAGGAAAGCAGGGGAUCGCAAGACCUUGCGCUCUGGGAGCGGCCGAUGUCGGAUUAGCUAGUUGGUGGGGUAAAGGCCUACCAAGGCGACGAUCCGUAGCGGGUCUGAGAGGAUGAUCCGCCACACUGGGACUGAGACACGGCCCAGACUCCUACGGGAGGCAGCAGUGGGGAAUUUUGGACAAUGGGCGAAAGCCUGAUCCAGCCAUGCCGCGUGAGUGAAGAAGGCCUUCGGGUUGUAAAGCUCUUUCGGCGGGGAAGAAAUUGCUUGGGAUAAUACCCUGAGUAGAUGACGGUACCCGAAUAAGAAGCACCGGCUAACUACGUGCCAGCAGCCGCGGUAA